GAGGUGGGAGGUUGGCUUGAGCCCAGGAGGUUGAGGCUGCAGUGAGCUGUGGUUCCUCCACUGCACUCCAGCCUGAGUGACAGAGCAAGACCCUGUCU
rnacentral:miRNA from 1 species